CAUGAUUCCAUGAAGCACUGCACACUCACAGCUCCAAUGUGAUGCUUUGCAUAAUGGCAGUUCAAAGUGAUGGAGGAAAUCAUGCCAAUCAGUGCACUCAGAAUUAUCUGCCUUAUAUACUGAUACUCUUCCAUGCUAUCAAGAUUGUCUGGUUGCAUGGUCUGGAGAAAGCCAGUAUUCCUACUUUGCUGUCUAAAUCCAGGACACCAUGUGACAUUCCACACCUGCCUCUUACCCACCCCCACCAGAUCAAGUCAGUGCAGUGUCUGCAUAAAGUCUUGUUAUAAACCAGCAGAACAGUCUGGAAAAAAUAAAUUUGAAAGUGUGCUUUUUCAAGAAACCCAGAAAACAUGAGACUUUCUUAAGGAAAUUAAUCUAGGAAGUUAAUUGUACAGGUGAUUACCUGGCCUGAGAAAAAACUCACAUUGUUUCCUGUGGAAACCAACCUGCAACGUGCUGUUGGGGUGAGCCCAGAGGAG